rnacentral:lncRNA from 1 species
UUUCCGUCCAAAUCAGUGUCACGUGAGCAACAUAUAUUUAGAUCUGUAACUCUCCUGUAUAGGAGUUACGAUAUCGCCCUUUGCAGAAAUAGAUUCGGAGUCAGUUCCUUCACAUGAUGGGGAAGCAAAGAUGGGAAGUUGUAUGUAAUAUCGUUACAAGAGGACCUUAAAUGUAUUCCGUCCACCAAAAAGACGUUCGCAACAAAACGUAAUGUCAUGAUAGUAGAUGUUGCUAAUGUUACUAUUACGAAUUGGUUUCUUGUGUAUUCAUUUGAUAUAAAG